UACGAAGGGGGCUAGCGUUGCUCGGAAUUACUGGGCGUAAAGCGCACGUAGGCGGUCUUUUAAGUCGGGGGUGAAAUCCUGGAGCUCAACUCCAGAACUGCCUUCGAUACUGGAAGACUUGAGUCCGGGAGAGGUGAGUGGAACUGCGAGUGUAGAGGUGAAAUUCGUAGAUAUCGCAAGAACACCAGUGGCGAAGGCGGCUCACUGGCCCGGUACUGACGCUGAGGUGCGAAAGCGUGGGAGCAACAGGG
rnacentral:rRNA from 1 species